rnacentral:rRNA from 1 species
UACGAAGGGUGCAAACGUUGCUCGGAAUCAUUGGGCGUAAAGCGCGUGUAGGCGGCCCGAUAAGUCCGCUGUGAAAGUCCAGGGCUCAACCCUGGGAUGCCGGUGGAUACUGUCGGGCUCGAGUCCGGAAGAGGCGAGUGGAAUUCCUGGUGUAGCGGUGAAAUGCGCAGAUAUCAGGAGGAACACCAAUGGCGAAGGCAGCUCGCUGGGACGUGACUGACGCUGAGACGCGAAAGCGUGGGGAGCAAACAGG